GACAGAGGUCCCGAUCGUUAUGCGGAAUCACUGGGCUUAAAGCGUGUGUAGGCGGACCUCUAAGUACCUUGUGAAAUCCCACGGCUUAACCGUGGAACUGCUUGGUAUACUGGUUGUCUUGGGCCAUCUAGGGGCUACUGGAACAAACGGUGGAGCGGUGAAAUGCGUAGAUAUCGUUUGGAACGCCAAUGGUGAAAACAAGUAGCUGGGGAUGUGCCGACGCUGAGACACGAAAGCCAGGGGAGCGAACGGG
rnacentral:rRNA from 1 species